GAUGAACGCUGGCGGCGUGCUUAACACAUGCAAGUCGAACGAAGCAUUUGCGACAGAUUUUUUCGGAAUGAAGUUGCUUAUGACUGAGUGUCGGACGGGUGAGUAACGCGUGGGUAACCUGCCUUGUACUGGGGGAUAGCAGCUGGAAACGGCUGGUAAUACCGCAUAAGCGCACAAUGUUGCAUGACAUGGUGUGAAAAACUCCGGUGGUAUAAGAUGGACCCGCGUCUGAUUAGCUAGUUGGUGAGAUAACAGCCCACCAAGGCGACGAUCAGUAGCCGACCUGAGAGGGUGACCGGCCACAUUGGGACUGAGACACGGCCCAGACUCCUACGGGAGGCAGCAGUGGGGAAUAUUGCACAAUGGAGGAAACUCUGAUGCAGCGACGCCGCGUGAGUGAAGAAGUGAUUCGUUAUGUAAAGCUCUAUCAGCAGGGAAGAUAGUGACGGUACCUGACUAAGAAGCUCCGGCUAAAUACGUG
rnacentral:rRNA from 1 species